rnacentral:rRNA from 1 species
UACGGGGGGUGCGAGCGUUGUCCGGAAUCACUGGGCGUAAAGGGUGCGUAGGCGGGUCUUUAAGUCAGGGGUGAAAUCCUGGAGCUCAACUCCAGAACUGCCUUUGAUACUGAAGAUCUUGAGUUCGGGAGAGGUGAGUGGAACUGCGAGUGUAGAGGUGAAAUUCGUAGAUAUUCGCAAGAACACCAGUGGCGAAGGCGGCUCACUGGGUCAUUACUGACGCUGAGGCACGAAAGCGUGGGGAGCAAACAGG